rnacentral:lncRNA from 1 species
UGGGACUCUGCCUUCUGCCCUGAUACACCCAGGAAGCCCCUGGUGCUGCUAGGGGAGAAGGACCAGGCUGGGGGCUCUGCUGCUGAGAGCCCGCCCCGGGGGUGAGGGGCUCCCUAAUCUCUCCACUCACAGUGACAUCUUCAUUUCGAGGCUUCAGGCUCUCUGGUCUGUGGAUUGAGACUGUGUCACCAGUAUCGUGUGGCAAGGGGGACCUCACCCAAGUGGCCAAGGACUUAGACUGGAGCCCAGCAGGAGAGGCAGAGUCUGCUCUGGAGGGAGCGGCUCCCUAUGGGGCCGGGCGCAGCCUGCUGCAGGAGUGACCGUGAGUACCCACGGGCUCCCUGGCCUCAUCCUCCUGAGCCCAUGUCUGUCUGUCACUGGUGUCAGCAUGGUGCACCUCGAAUUUCCCACCAGCAGCCUGUCCCGACCCAGGGCCUGCCGUGUGUUACCUGCUCACUCCCACGCCCACCUUGUCUGCCCUUCCCCUUCAUGGGCCCUCGGUCUCCUCCUCGAACCUCUGAUUGAUUCUGGUGGAGCUGGUGGGGGGCGGCCUCGUAUCCGCUGUGCAACUCCUGCUCUUGCCGCCUCCAGCCUCCAUCUGGCCCGCUGUGCUGGAUGUUGUCAUGGAGACGACCUAUCGCGGGAUGCCAUAGGCCCCCCACCUCUGGAGACCGACCCUUAGGUCAGAGGGCUGGCCAGACGCCUUGCACUCUGUAUAAUUUGGGGCAGGGGAGAUUGCAUGCUUGCUUGGUGGUUGGAUGGGCUUCUGUUUCAUGUUCCUAAACUUUACUGGUCUGCCCUGAAACCACAUUACCUUUAGGGAUCGCUGUGACGUAAUGCAUUUGAGUUAAUUUCAAGCCUUCAGAGAGGUUGCAAGUACAGUGACUGUCCUCUCCCUCGAUACUGUGUCUUAUUUGCAUUCUUUUCUUGAACCAUUUUAAAUUGUAUUAAAAAAAUAAGUUGUAGACACAGGACUUUGUCUUUUUUAAUUGAAGCAUAGUUGAUUUACAGUGUUGCAUUAAUUUGUACUAUACAGCUGAGUAAUUCCAUUACAUAUUUUUUUUUCUAUUAUAGUUCAUCAUAGAUACUUAAUACAGUUCUCUGUGCUGUGCGGUAGGAUUUGUUUAUCCAUUCUGUGUAUAAUAGCUUACAUCUACUAACCCCAGCCUCCUCCCCGCUGGCAGCCACAGGUCUGUUUCCCACGGCCGUGAGUCAUUUCUGUCUCAUAGGCAGGCUUUUUUGUGUUGUACUUCAGAUUCCACAAACAAAUGAU